CAGGGCUACUACACUCUGUGGGCCAGUCACUUCUCAGAACACCAGAACUCAGGCUGUGGCAGACCUAGGGGCCCUGAAGCCUCGCCUACCACCACCGGCACUGAUCUCUGGCAUGAAGACUUUAGGGGUCCUAGCUGUGGUGGUCAAGCCAGCUUCUCCUGAGAACCACUGCUGUAAAGAACAAGAUUGUGUCACAUGACGAUGCUCAACAAGGUUCAAUGGUUAAAUGAAGGAAGAAAACAAGAGGACUUUGGCAUAAGAUGCACAGCGAAGAAGAAAUAUAUAUGCUGGGCUUGCUGAAGAAGCUGUAAAAGCGAAAACAGAGCCCCAAAGGUAAUAUACUUUGCUCUCUGUGAAGCCCUUUGACUUGAAGAAAUAGUGAUCUAAGAUAAUGUCCUGCCAUCCAGAAGAAUUGUAGGCACGGGAGAGAUUGAAAUUGGUACUAAAAUAAAUUCUGAAGCCAAGAUAACAACAACAACAACAACAAAGAUAUCAGAUCUAAUAUCCCACCCAAUUUCUGAGUUAAGCCAGUGACAGGUAUAUUUCGAAGCAAGACUAUUUAGACACAUUGAUUUUUGUUGUCACUUUCUUCUUAUUUCAUAUGUCACAUCAAGGCUUGGAAAUCGGAUGAAUGUAAGAAGGGUCCGCUGAUCACUGUUCCUCAGGAGGAAUUUUCAAAGUCAGCUAGCUGUGCUUGAUGAAAGUGGUCCUGCAUAGAGCUCCACUCUGCCUGCAGGGAAGUUUAGGCAAACUACACUUUACCACUUCACUCCUAUUACUAGGAUUCUUGGUUGUCAAGGAGGCAUCUAUUUAACUGAAGUCUGGUAAAUCUCAAAAGUAAAGUAUUAGGGAGGAAAAAAAGCUUAAAUCAUCUUUUUUCCUCUUACUUCAAAGUCCUUUUAAAUGAACAUGCAACUCCAAUUCUGGUAAACAAAUUUUAUGAAGUAAGUCGUGCAGGUAAUGCGUUCUUCAAUUGUAUGCUUCCAGGAUAACAUGUUGACAUCCAAUCUUUGUGUUUUGAAGAGUUUGUAAUAAUAAAUAGAAAUCAAUGCUGGAGAGUGAAGGGUGCAUCAAUUAUAUUUCUUUUAUCUCAAAGAUUCUUUCCAUGUUGUAUCUAUCCUUCCUCGUGAAAUUUUUUUCACAUUGUAAAGUGUACUGUAGCUUAAUUGGCAACAUAGAUGCUGAGUGCUGAUCAAGUCUAAAUUAUAUUUGACAGAAAUGAAACUGGCUUUAUUUUAUGUGAAAUAUAAAAUAUUAUCAUGGUCCUUGAGUUUGAAAAGGGAGAUUGUGCGUGUGUGUGUG
rnacentral:lncRNA from 1 species